ACGGGAGGCAGCAGUGGGGAAUUUUGGACAAUGGGGGCAACCCUGAUCCAGCCAUGCCGCGUGAGUGAAGAAGGCCUUCGGGUUGUAAAGCUCUUUCGGCCGGGAAGAAAUCGCGCAGGUUAAUACCCUGUGUGGAUGACGGUACCGGAAUAAGAAGCACCGGCUAACUACGUGCCAGCAGCCGCGGUAAUACGUAGGGUGCGAGCGUUAAUCGGAAUUACUGGGCGUAAAGCGUGCGCAGGCGGUUUUGUAAGACAGGCGUGAAAUCCCCGGGCUUAACCUGGGAACUGCGCUUGUGACUGCAAGGCUAGAGUACGGCAGAGGGGGGUGGAAUUCCACGUGUAGCAGUGAAAUGCGUAGAGAUGUGGAGGAACACCAAUGGCGAAGGCAGCCCCCUGGGUCGAUACUGACGCUCAUGCACGAAAGCGUGGGUAGCAAACAGGAUUAGAUACCCUGGUA
rnacentral:rRNA from 1 species